rnacentral:rRNA from 1 species
UACGUAGGGUGCGAGCGUUAAUCGGAAUUACUGGGCGUAAAGCGUGCGCAGGCGGUUUUGUAAGCCAGAUGUGAAAGCCCCGGGCUUAACCUGGGAAUGGCAUUUGGGACUGCAAGGCUUGAGUGCGGCAGAGGAGACUGGAAUUCCUGGUGUAGCAGUGAAAUGCGUAGAUAUCAGGAGGAAUACCGAUGGCGAAGGCGGUUCUCUGGGCCUGUACUGACGCUGAGGAGCGAAAGCGUGGGGAGCGAACAGG